AGUGAUUUCCGUAGGUGAACCUGCGGAGGGAUCAUUACCGAGUUCAUGCCCUGACGGGUAGAUCUCCCAUCCUCUGUUAUCAUUACCUUUGUUGCUUUGGCGGGCCGUCAGGCCCCGGUCAGGCUACCUGCUCCAGCUGGUAAGCGCCCGCCAGAGGACCCUAAACCCUGAAUAUCAGUGUCGUCUGAGUCCUAUGUAAUCGUUAAAACUUUCAACAACGGAUCUCUUGGUUCUGGCAUCGAUGAAGAACGCAGCGAAAUGCGAUAAGUAAUGUGAAUUGCAGAAUUCAGUGAAUCAUCGAAUCUUUGAACGCACAUUGCGCCCCUCGGUAUUCCGAAGGGCAUGCCUGUUCGAGCGUCAUUACAACCCUCAAGCACUGCUUGGUCUUGGGCUCCACCGCUAAUCCGGUGGGCCUUAAAAUCAGUGGCGGUGCCGUCGGGCCCUGAGCGUAGUAAAUCUCCUCGCUACAGGGUCCCGGUGGACGCUAGCCAGCAACCCCUCUUUUCUAUGGUUGACCUCGGAUNAGGUAGGGAUACCCGCUGAACUUAA
rnacentral:rRNA from 1 species